GAUGAAGAACGUAGCGAAAUGCGAUAAGUAGUGUGAAUUGCAGAAUUCAGUGAAUCAUCGAAUCUUUGAACGCACAUUGCGCCCCUUGGUAUCCCGAGGGGCAUGCCUGUUCGGGCGUCAUUUCACCACUCAAGCCUGGCUUGGUGUUGGGCGACGUCCCCUUUGGGGACGCGCCUUGAAACGCUCGGCGGCGUGGCACCGGCUUUAAGCGUAGCAGAAUCUUUCGCUUUGGAAGUCGGGGCCCCGUCUGCCGGAAGACCUACUCGCAAGGUUGACCUCGGAUCAGGCAGGGAUACCCGCUGAACUUAAGCAUAUCAAUAAGCGGAGGA
rnacentral:misc_RNA from 1 species